rnacentral:rRNA from 1 species
AGAGUUUGAUCCUGGCUCAGGACGAACGCUGGCGGCGUGCUUAACACAUGCAAGUCGAACGAUGAAGCCUAGCUUGCUAGGUGGAUUAGUGGCGAACGGGUGAGUAAUACGUGAGUGACCUACCUUUGACUCUGGGAUAAGCCUGGGAAACUGGGUCUAAUACCGGAUACGACCAAUCUCCGCAUGGGGUGUUGGUGGAAAGCGUUAUGGAGUGGUUUUAGAUGGGCUCACGGCCUAUCAGCUUGUUGGUGAGGUAAUGGCUUACCAAGGCGACGACGGGUAGCCGGCCUGAGAGGGUGACCGGCCACACUGGGACUGAGACACGGCCCAGACUCCUACGGGAGGCAGCAGUGGGGAAUAUUGCACAAUGGGCGCAAGCCUGAUGCAGCGACGCCGCGUGAGGGAUGACGGCCUUCGGGUUGUAAACCUCUGUUAGCAUCGAAGAAGCGAAAGUGACGGUAGGUGCAGAGAAAGCGCCGGCUAACUACGUGCCAGCAGCCGCGGUAAU